UUAAUCAAGAUUAGUUGUUUAAUAUUUAGGAAAAUCUUGAAAAAAGUUAACAAGAUCCAACAUUGUCUGCCGAUGAAAUUGAUAUGCUAAAUAGUGUUCUAGCUUCUUACUUUGGUCUCGAUCGGAAUGGACAUAUGAGAGCAAUGGGUCUCGGGAUGACCAGGACAAAAUAUUCUAUUUUAUCAAAAUGGGAUGACCACUUGUCUCUUUUACAAGAGAAAUAUUUACGAAUGGAGGAGGAUGUUAAGAGCUGAAAGAUAUACUUUAUCUAUUAUUGCAAAAUCAAGUUAGUUUUUUAUUCUUAUGUUUUGGUUUAAAUACAUUAUUGUAACGUUUCUAAUCUUAUUAGACAAGUUUUUGGUUGUAUUAAAAGCAGGCAAUGAAGAAUUAUGGCUCCACUCCUUUCUACUAAAGAUUCCAAUCAAGUGGCCUAAGAGCAUAGAUGAUGUAUGGAAAGCAAAUAUUCCCCAUACCCACCUUGCAACUGAGAAGUUUGACUAGAAUUGGAUGAUACAAUAUGCUUUUUGGAGAAUAAUAUAUGGUUCAUGAACUUAAUUCAUUUAUAUAUCAACUAUCUAGUCUGUUGUCAGUAUUUUACACCCAAAUUAUCUUUUCAUUUUUCUCAUUGUCUUUUAAGGUUUUGUGCAUAAAUGAGUUUGAUGAAGUCAGUUAAUAGAAAGCUGAAGGAUGAGAUUGCAAAGUUGAACGAUCAAUUACAAGAUCAGAUUUCUGUAUCAAGCAGCAGCUGUUUGAAUGCUCGGAUUAAAGCUUGGUGUUUUGGGGACAAAGAGGCUCCCUUACCCAAGUAGAUCUUUCGAGCUCGCGCAUUGUUCCCGAUGUAGGAGAGAGAUGAGUGCGCUUGUGGAGCGCAUGUGUUGGAAAAUAGCUGCUAAAAGGAACUAGGAGUUAUAUCUUUUGUGCAGAGUAAAAGAGUCCUAGCAAAAUCCAUAGAGCAAAAGUGAUUUGGCUCCUUGGCUUGCUCGACUGACCAGUCCACCUUCCCGCCUAGCUGAUUUUGGAUUUUCCACUGAUAUGUUUGACAAGGAUACAGUAAUCCUUCAUUUAUACUUAAUCACUCUGCAUGUACGGAAUUUCAUUUCUUGUCCAAAUAUAUGUGUUCAUGACUAAUGAGUAGAAGAAUUUGAUUUGUGAUCGUGUUGCCGGAAGUUUGGCAGCAAAGAGUUGACAAUUACUGGACUUUGUUGAAACCAAAAAUCGAGUCAAACACACUUAGGAACAUAAUGGACAUGAAGGCUAACAUAGGUUCCUUUGCUGCUGCUUUUAAAGGCAAAGAUGUGUGAGUGAUGAAUGUGGUGUCAGUAUUUGCACAUUAGAAGCACAUGAAUCUUUUUACUGCAAGCUCUGGAUUCUUUGCCAUCCAUGCUCUCGACCGAAGUAAUUGACUCGAGUCUGUCGUUGCAAGCAGCCGUUACUACCUCAAAUCUCCUGAAGAUAUAAGUGGAAUGCACUUUCUAAUUGCACUUGGUAAAUUAGAAAAGAAUGGGUCGGGAUCUUCAUUUAACGAGAUGUUUUGGAUAUUUUGAUAUCUCU